CUCAGGACGAACGCUGGCGGCGUGCUUAACACAUGCAAGUCGAACGGAAAGGCCCUUCGGGGUGCUCGAGUGGCGAACGGGUGAGUAACACGUGGGUGAUCUGCCCUGCACUUUGGGAUAAGCCUGGGAAACUGGGUCUAAUACCGGAUAGGACUACGCACUGCAUGGUGUGUGGUGGAAAGCUUUUGCGGUGUGGGAUGGGCCCGCGGCCUAUCAGCUUGUUGGUGGGGUGAUGGCCUACCAAGGCGACGACGGGUAGCCGGCCUGAGAGGGUGUCCGGCCACACUGGGACUGAGAUACGGCCCAGACUCCUACGGGAGGCAGCAGUGGGGAAUAUUGCACAAUGGGCGCAAGCCUGAUGCAGCGACGCCGCGUGAGGGAUGACGGCCUUCGGGUUGUAAACCUCUUUCGCCAGGGACGAAGCGCAAGUGACGGUACCUGGAGAAGAAGCACCGGCCAACUACGUGCCAGCAGCCGCGGUAAUACGUAGGGUGCGAGCGUUGUCCGGAAUUACUGGGCGUAAAGAGCUCGUAGGUGGUUUGUCGCGUUGUUCGUGAAAACUCACAGCUUAACUGUGGGCGUGCGGGCGAUACGGGCAGACUGGAGUACUGCAGGGGAGACUGGAAUUCCUGGUGUAGCGGUGGAAUGCGCAGAUAUCAGGAGGAACACCGGUGGCGAAGGCGGGUCUCUGGGCAGUAACUGACGCUGAGGAGCGAAAGCGUGGGGAGCGAACAGGAUUAGAUACCCUGGUAGUCCACGCCGUAAACGGUGGGUACUAGGUGUGGGUUUCCUUCCUUGGGAUCCGUGCCGUAGCUAACGCAUUAAGUACCCC
rnacentral:rRNA from 1 species